rnacentral:lncRNA from 11 species
AGUACCCUAGAUAACCCAGCCCCAAAUACAAAACACCUGAAUGAGGUUUGCUAUAGCUCCCCCUCACCUGGUUCCUUUCCAAAUGUUAACCCCACACCUGGAGUAAAUCCCCCUUUGCCCAUUGAGUUACUCUACCUCCCACCCAUCCUGAGCCAGGGCAUUGGGCUACCGUACCUGCAAAGGUAGGCAGGUCUUUAACUUACCUGGGAAGGUAAGGUUUGAAGGGGCUUUAUUGGGUGUGGGUUAGUUGGAGGGAGGGGGGCUCCAACCGAAAGAAGAGGAAGGAGCAACAUUGGUUUUGACAGAGCUUAACUUCUUUGCUGCCUAAGUUUGGUACUUCUGGGGUGAAGUGGCACCCAAAGGAGCUCAGGAGUGUGACAAAAAGUACCAUUGUUGGGGAUAUUUUGCAAUCUCUUCUGCCCUUCUGUCAGAAGACAGAAGUUCAGCAGAAAAACCAUGCCCAAAAGGAGAACCAUUCCCACAUUGGAGAAUCUAUGCCUGGAUAAUGUGGCUGAGAAUAUGAAAAGCCUAUGGGUUAAGUUUUACUCGAUGGAAGCCAAGCUAGCCAGAAAUCAUGACCACGACACCAUCACAGGACCCUUCAGCAUGCUGGCUGGUUCCCUUCUCGAGGAAUUGCUUGAGACCCUGCAAGAAAGUAGACUUCUGACCCCAUCCAUACUUCACAUUCUCCUUUUGCCACAACUAAGGUCACUGGAUUUGAAUGACUGUGCAUCUUAUGUUGGCGACACUCUUACCCACACCAUCACAGUACGCUGCAAGAAUCUUUCCUCGCUGACUCUUCGUUACUGCAACCAGAUUCAUGCGGAUGCUUUGGUCGAGCUUGUGAAAGCUUUGCCGUUCCUCGCCAAACUAAAUCUUUCAUCCACUCAGUGCAACACACAAGUACUUUCCACCAUUCGUUCUUUCUGUCCUGAAAUUAAAGAACUGGAUAUCAUGAAGUGUAAGAAACUAUCCCCAGAUUCCCUCCUUCACUUGGUCUAUGACCCUGUUGCAGGAUCAUACUGUUGCCAGUCAUUGCAGACGCUCAAAGCUGAUGGACUGAUGCCCACCACUGAUGCGCAGAGCUUGCUUUCGGUUCUGGUCUUUGUGCUUCUAGCAUUGCCCAGGCUGACAUAUUUGUAUCAUAAGUUUGUUCCACAGGCUGUAUGUCUCAUCUAUGACCAGGAAUUUCCUGGUGCCCGGAUGCCUGCUGAGUUUCCAUCCCUAGAGGAAGUUGCACAAUACAGGACAUCUACUCACCCAAAUGAGGGAAGUGGCAGAUUCACACUUCCACUCAGAGAAAUUGAAUUAGUUCCGUCUUCCUUGUUGCCUAAGAUUGGUGCUGUGUGCCCUCACCUCUCGGUAAUCUCCAUGACUCUUAGAGAUAGCUGGGACUUGGAUCAGUAUGUCUUGCCAUGGCGCAAUCUUACCUUUCUCAAUCUUGGUACCGAUGAAAGGAUGGACUUGAAGGAGCUUUUACCUGUGACAGCUAACAUUGGGACCCAGCUUAAAUGUCUUUCACUUCGAGGAUUUAUCUUUAAAGAUGAGCUGACCUUCCACACUUUGCUGAGCCAGUGCCCAAAUCUCCUGAAAUUUCAAUUCCUCUUCCCCUCUCCCGGGAGGAAUGGUUGUCAGAGUCAGCCAUGGAAUGAAGCCAGAGCACGAAACUUGCGCUUCCCUCCUCUCCAAUUUCCUGACCUUGUUAACUUUUUCCUGAUGUACCAUGAGUUUGGUACUCCACUGCCUUCCCUAUAUAAAGUGGUUUUGGGAAAUAUCCUGGAAUCAGUGUUCAAAUAUUCCCCAUGCCUGGAGAUCUUGCAUCUUUUUUUCCUGCCAUUCCCUCUGGAUGAGGCAUUUCAGAAAGCACUAAAACCACCUAGUACUGCCCUGCAAAGUCUUCAGGAGCUUGAACUGGUUCGGGCUCGGAUAUCAAUUCGUACCAUCGGUUUGCUGGUUUUCUCUGAGAAUCAGCUGUGUAUACUCUCCUUGAAGAAAUGUUUCCACAUAAGGCGGGCAGACUGCAAUGAGCUCCUCCAAAGAGUCAAGGAGGAGAACUUGCAAGUAAUUAUUAUGCAGGAAUGAAAAAAAACCCAACCCUCUCCACUUGCUCGGAAUGGCAGUUCCAUUGCUCAUAGGGCCAGGACAGUAUGUUUAUUGUUUAAUAAACCUUAUGUUAUAUUACUCAAACUUUUGUCUCUGGAUUCUGUU